rnacentral:rRNA from 1 species
CUUGCUUUUUGCUGACGAGUGGCGAACGGGUGCGUAACGCGUAUGCAACCUACCUUCUUCUAAGGAAUAGCCCAGAGAAAUUUGGAUUAAUACCUUAUGAUAAUAUUUAUUCGCAUGUUUAAAUAUUUAAAACUUCGGUGGAAGAAGAUGGGCAUGCGUAACAUUAGUUUGUUGGUGAGGUAAUGGCUCACCAAGACUACGAUGUUUAGGGGGUCUGAGAGGAUGAUCCCCCACACUGGUACUGAGACACGGACCAGACUCCUACGGGAGGCAGCAGUGAGGAAUAUUGGUCAAUGGACGAAAGUCUGAACCAGCCAUGCCGCGUGAAGGAUGACUGCCCUAUGGGUUGUAAACUUCUUUUGUAUAGGAAGAAACCCCUCUACGUGUAGAGGGUUGACGGUACUAUUCGAAUAAGCACCGGCUAACUCCGUGCCAGCAGCCGCGGUAAUACGGAGGGUGCGAGCGUUAUCCGGAAUUAUUGGGUUUAAAGGGUGCGUAGGCGGAAAUUUAAGUCAGUGGUGAAAGCCUGCAGCUCAACUGUA